AGAGUUUGAUCCUGGCUCAGGACGAACGCUGGUGGCGUGCUUAACACAUGCAAGUCGAACGGAAAGGCCCUUUCGGGGGUACUGGAGUGGCGAACGGGUGAGUAACACGUGGGUGAUCUGCCCUGCACUUCGGGAUAAGCUUGGGAAACUGGGUCUAAUACCGGAUAGGACCAUGCCAUGCAUGUGGUGUGGUGGAAAGCUUUUGCGGUGUGGGAUGGGCCCGCGGCCUAUCAGCUUGUUGGUGGGGUGAUGGCCUACCAAGGCGACGACGGGUAGCCGGCCUGAGAGGGUGUCCGGCCACACUGGGACUGAGAUACGGCCCAGACUCCUACGGGAGGCAGCAGUGGGGAAUAUUGCACAAUGGGCGCAAGCCUGAUGCAGCGACGCCGCGUGGGGGAUGACGGCCUUCGGGUUGUAAACCUCUUUCACCAUCGGCGAAGCCCAUGAUUUUUGUUGUGGGUGACGGUAGGUGGAGAAGAAGCACCGGCCAACUACGUGCCAGCAGCCGCGGUAAUACGUAGGGUGCGAGCGUUGUCCGGAAUUACUGGGCGUAAAGAGCUCGUAGGUGGUUUGUCGCGUUGUCCGUGAAAUUCCCUGGCUUAACUGGGGGCGUGCGGGCGAUACGGGCAGACUGGAGUACUGCAGGGGAGACUGGAAUUCCUGGUGUAGCGGUGGAAUGCGCAGAUAUCAGGAGGAACACCGGUGGCGAAGGCGGGUCUCUGGGCAGUAACUGACGCUGAGGAGCGAAAGCGUGGGGAGCGAACAGGAUUAGAUACCCUGGUAGUCC
rnacentral:rRNA from 1 species